UUUGCAUGUUCCAUUAUCUGCACCAGAACACAUGAAGAACUGUAGCUAACAAAAUAAAUGCCAGUCUCCAGUUCAGGAGUGCAGAAAGGCAAUUGCUUUGAUUUGCAGUACAAACUAGAACUUGAAUGAAAGCAAGACCAAUUUCUACUAAUUAGAAUCAUAGAAUCCCAGACUGGUUUGCAUUGGAAGAGACCUUCAAGAUCCUAUCAUUUCACAUGCCCUACCACAGGCAGGGAUGCCUUCAUCAGUUCAAUCAUUGUGGAUGUGGAAACGACACAGAGCAGAAGAGGAGCUGUAGCUGCUGCACAGCUGUGACAGUUCCCCAGAGCACUUCCAAGGGAGAGCACAGCCCAGCUGACCCAGCACUGCCCGUGUCCUUCUGGCUGCUGAUGCCCAGUGCUGCAGAUCAGAGGUGGGAUCAAUACCACACUCACUAAAACCAGUGUUGAGGGCAAUGAUUUCACACUAACUAGAAACAGCAGUAAAACAGACCUCUUUGACUAUCAUUUUCCAAGCAAAUGCAGUGAGUAAGCAGCAGACUAGCAGUGCCAAGAGCAAAAAACUAAUUUGGUGGGGGCUUCCUAUUUAAUAUCCAUGCUCUUGAUCCCACAAAGAUUUAAGAUUUAUUUGGGCCUACACACUUGCAUAAGGUCGUGUGUGCAUUUAAGAGACUGUAGGAUCUAAGCCAAACUUUUUACUAAGUACUAGAUAAGCAAAUUUGCCUAACAGGAAUUUUAAUUUGCCAUUACCCCUUUAAAAAUGUAUUUGUUCUCUGCUAAAUAGUAAUAAAUUAGCCUAACAGCAAUCAUUUAUGUUUCUUUAGCAUCUUGGAAGCAUCUCAAUACAUUUUUACCAACCACAGCAGCCCAAUGAAGCUAAAUCAACUGCCACAUGUACAUCUCACAGGGCUUGGUUUGAAGCUGGGGUCUUUACAGUAGAAAGCUUGAAUUUUUCACUAACUCACUGAAAAAACAUAUUUAUAAUUUCAAGUAGGAGGGAAGACGCACAGGAGCUCUGCAAGAAGAGUUUAAUCUGGUGAAAGGAAGAAUUUUUUUCAGCAGAUUUUGUACCCUGCCCACCUACCCACCCUCCCUGGCAUCACACAUCAGGAGGUUCACACACAGCAAGCCCAGCCCUUCCAAGGAGGCUGACACAGCCUCCUGCACAGCUGGGCUUUGC